rnacentral:rRNA from 1 species
ACAAUGAAGAGUUUGAUCCUGACUCAGGAUGAACGCUAGCGGCAGGCUUAACACAUGCAAGUCGAGGGGCAGCGUGGAGUAGCAAUACUCUGACGGCGACCGGCGAAAGGGUGAGUAACGCGUGAGCAACAUGCCCGGUAGUGGAGGAUAGUCGAUGGAAACGUCGUGUAAUACUCCGUAACAACAGAGACCGCAUGAUCUUUGUUUAAUAGAUUUAUUGCUAUCGGAUUGGCUCGCGUACCAUUAGCUAGUUGGCGGGGUAACGGCCCACCAAGGCGACGAUGGUUAGGGGUUCUGAGAGGAAGGUCCCCCACAUUGGAACUGAGACACGGUCCAG